CCAAACGGUAUUAAAUUAUAAACAGGUUUUAAAUGCCUUUAAAAUGAAUAAAAAGAAAAGAGAAACGGAGGAAUCGUGAAACAGAUUCUCAAAAUACCAUUCGUCUUCCUCACGAAGACCGCUUCCCUUCUCUCAAUCUCUCAUCAUCUCUCAACCGUCAUCUCUCACGAUACCCUACCCUUACCCCAAAUGCACAAAUCCAUGGCUUUAAAGAAAUCCAAACAAUAAAGCUUACCUUCGGUGGUGGUUUGGUAGUGACGGUGAGGCUUGGAUUUGCCUCCUUUACCUCAAAGCUUUCUCUUUGAAGUUCUUCUCCUUCGCCGUUUCAAUCUGGGUUUUUUCGCCGUUUUCGAAUUUAGGGUUUUGUGGUGGUCGCCUCCAAAAAUUCCGUUCUUUCAUCUGUGGUCGAUUCCCCCUUUUAUAUCAACAACUUAGGGUUUUAGGUUGGCUUAUGGAGAUCCAGAAGGGGUUUCUGUGAAAUCUCUUUAGGGUAGUCAGAUUUUGGUCGCCCUAUUUGAUUGUUAAAUUCGGAAGAGGUAACACAGAGCUACACUUUCUUCUCUGACUUCUGUCUCAAUUCCGUUUUGGGCUGUUUGUUAACUUUUACCGUCUUACCGAGUUGAUGUAUUUUUUACUGAACUGAAAACUAGAACCUUCAUGAGUGGUUUACAAAUUUCUUCUUCUACUUUGAAAAAAGGUGUUUUUGUUAUGGAAAUCCUAGGGUGGAGUUCUAGUGUGGAUGAAGUUCUUAGAUCCGCUUCUGGUUCGGUUGAGGAUGUGAAACUGUUUUGCUGUGAUCAAACUCAGAUUUGAGAAGAAGUUCUUUUUGGGUGCGAUUGGUUUUCUUGAUUUCAAUUGAUUUUGUUCAUACCGUGCAGGUUAACCAUUUGCCUUGGAAGUUAUGUUAGAGGCUGCUAUGGAGUUUUCGAUUUUGUAUGGAGGUUAACCAACCAAUUAGUAAGGGCGGAUUCAGGUUGUGGCUUUGAAUCAUGCUGUUGGAGGUUAGGUGGAUAUCAUUUGGGUUGAAAUUCGUUGGACAGUUGGAAGUUCGGUUGGAGUUUGUUAUGAUUCUAUUCUGAAUUCAGUUGAAAUUUGGAAAUUCGGAUCCUUUGGUUUGCACUUGCAGGUGUGAUGCAUAAUUGGUUAAUUACUGCAGAAUUUUUGGACAUAUUUGCUUCAGGAAUGAAUAGAAAGUCUGAAGGUUAUUAGUUAGCUUGGGAAUUUCGGCUUGGAUGCGGCUACGAAGCGCAUUGGAUGGCGGGGCUGUUUUGGAAUUCUUAUGGAGUGCUAUGGCCUUGAUGAUGUUGAUUCGCUACUGUUAGAAAAAUCAUAUGUAAUGGAUUGGGAUAUAUCGAAUGUAUUGAAAUGGUUGGGUAGUGACUAUUGUAAUUUGGUUAGAUAAUAUUUAAUUGAAAGUGAAUGAAAAUUUGAAUGGUUUAUGAAAUA